rnacentral:rRNA from 1 species
GACGAACGCUGGCGGCGUGCUUAACACAUGCAAGUCGAACGAUGAAGCCUUAGCUUGCUUUGGUGGAUUAGUGGCGAACGGGUGAGUAACACGUGAGCAACGUGCCCAGGACUCUGGAAUAACCGCGGGAAACCGUGGCUAAUACCGGAUAGGUGCCGAGGCCGCAUGGUCUUCGGUUGGAAAGUUUUUGCGGUUCUGGAUCGGCUCACGGCCUAUCAGCUUGUUGGUGGGGUAAUGGCCUACCAAGGCGACGACGGGUAGCCGGCCUGAGAGGGUGACCGGCCACACUGGGACUGAGACACGGCCCAGACUCCUACGGAAGGCAGCAGUGGGGAAUAUUGCACAAUGGGCGCAAGCCUGAUGCAGCAACGCCGCGUGGGGGAUGACGGCCUUCGGGUUGUAAACCUCUUUUAGUAGGGAAGAAGCGCAAGUGACGGUACCUGCAGAAAAAGCACCGGCUAACUACGUG